CACAAGCGGUGGAUGAUGUGGAUUAAUUCGAUGCAACGCGAAAACCUUACCUACCUUGACAUGUCCGGAAUCCCGAAGAGAUUUGGGAGUGCUCGCAAGAGAACCGGAACACAGGUGCUGCAUGGCUGUCGUCAGCUCGUGUCGUGAGAUGUUGGGUUAAGUCCCGCAACGAGCGCAACCCUUGUCAUUAGUUGCCAUCAUUUGGUUGGGCACUCUAAUGAGACUGCCGGUGACAAACCGGAGGAAGGUGGGGAUGACGUCAAGUCCUCAUGGCCCUUAUGGGUAGGGCUUCACACGUCAUACAAUGGUCGGUACAGAGGGUUGCCAACCCGCGAGGGGGAGCUAAUCCCACAAAGCCGAUCGUAGUCCGGAUCGCAGUCUGCAACUCGACUGCGUGAAGUCGGAAUCGCUAGUAAUCGUGGAUCAGCAUGUCACGGUGAAUACGUUCCCGGGUCUU
rnacentral:rRNA from 1 species